rnacentral:rRNA from 1 species
CCUACGGGAGGCAGCAGUCGAGAAUCAUUCACAAUGGGGGAAACCCUGAUGGUGCGACGCCGCGUGGGGAAAUGAAGGUCUUCGGAUUGUAAACCCCUGUCAUGUGGGAGCAAAUUAAAAAGAUAGUACCACAAGAGGAAGAGACGGCUAACUCUGUGCCAGCAGCUGCGGUAAUACAGAGGUCUCAAGCGUUGUUCGGCAUCACUGGGCGUAAGGCGUGCGUAGGCUGUUUCGUAAGUCGUGUGUGAAAGGCGCGGGCUCAACCCGCGGACGGCACAUGAUACUGCGAGACUAGAGUAAUGGAAGGGGAACCGGAAUUCGCGGUGUAGCAGUGAAAUGCGUAGAUAUCGAGAGGAACACUCGUGGCGAAGGCGGGUUCCUGGACAUUAACUGACGCUGAGGCACGAAGGCCAGGGGAGCGAAAGGGAUUAGAUACCCCAGUAGUC